rnacentral:rRNA from 1 species
GACGGACGCUGGCGGCGUGCUUAACACAUGCAAGUCGAACGGAAAGGCCCCAGCUUGCUGGGGUACUCGAGUGGCGAACGGGUGAGUAACACGUGGGUGAUCUGCCCUGCACUCUGGGAUAAGCCUGGGAAACUGGGUCUAAUACCGGAUAGGACCGUGCUUUAGUGUGUGCGGCGGAAAGUUUUUCGGUGCAGGAUGAGCCCGCGGCCUAUCAGCUUGUUGGUGGGGUAAUGGCCCACCAAGGCGGCGACGGGUAGCCGGCCUGAGAGGGUGUACGGCCACAUUGGGACUGAGACACGGCCCAGACUCCUACGGGAGGCAGCAGUGGGGAAUAUUGCACAAUGGGCGCAAGCCUGAUGCAGCGACGCCGCGUGGGGGAUGACGGCCUUCGGGUUGUAAACCCCUUUCGGCAGGGACGAAGCUUUUGUGACGGUACCUGCAUAAGAAGCACCGGCUAACUACGUG